AUUGAACGCUGGCGGCAGGCCUAACACAUGCCAGUCGAGCGGAUGAAGGGAGCUUGCUCCUGGAUUCAGCGGCGGACGGGUGUGUAAUGCCUAGGAAUCUGCCUGGUAGUGGGGGAUAACGUCCGGAAACGGGCGCUAAUACCGCAUACGCCCUGAGGGAGAAAGUGGGGGAUCUUCGGACCUCACGCUAUCAGAUGAGCCUAGGUCGGAUUAGCUAGUUGGUGGGGUAAAGGCCUACCAAGGCGACGAUCCGUAACUGGUCUGAGAGGAUGAUCAGUCACACUGGAACUGAGACACGGUCCAGACUCCUACGGGAGGCAGCAGUGGGGAAUAUUGGACAAUGGGCGAAAGCCUGAUCCAGCCAUGCCGCGUGUGUGAAGAAGGUCUUCGGAUUGUAAAGCACUUUAAGUUGGGAGGAAGGGCAGUAAGUUAAUACCUUGCUGUUUUGACGUUACCAACAGAAUAAGCACCGGCUAACUUCGUG
rnacentral:rRNA from 1 species